GAUGAACGCUGGCGGCGUGCUUAACACAUGCAAGUCGAACGGAAAGGCCCAAGCUUGCUUGGGUACUCGAGUGGCGAACGGGUGAGUAACACGUGGGUGAUCUGCCCUGCACUUCGGGAUAAGCCUGGGAAACUGGGUCUAAUACCGGAUAGGACCACAUUUUGGAUGGUGUGGUGGAAAGUUUUUCGGUGUAGGAUGAGCUCGCGGCCUAUCAGCUUGUUGGUGGGGUAAUGGCCUACCAAGGCGUCGACGGGUAGCCGGCCUGAGAGGGUGUACGGCCACAUUGGGACUGAGAUACGGCCCAGACUCCUACGGGAGGCAGCAGUGGGGAAUAUUGCACAAUGGGCGCAAGCCUGAUGCAGCGACGCCGCGUGGGGGAUGACGGCCUUCGGGUUGUAAACUCCUUUCGCUAGGGACGAAGCGUUAUGUGACGGUACCUGGAGAAGAAGCACCGGCUAACUACGUG
rnacentral:rRNA from 1 species